rnacentral:rRNA from 1 species
CAGUCGAACGGAGCUAGACGCUGAUGAAUAGCUUGCUAGGAAUCUUGUUCAUCUUAGUGGCGGACGGGUGAGUAACGCGUGAGCAACCUGCCUUUCAGAGGGGGAUAACGUUUGGAAACGAACGCUAAUACCGCAUGAUAUUAAAGGGCUGCAUGGCCUGAUAAUCAAAGGAGCAAUCCGCUGAAAGAUGGGCUCGCGUCCGAUUAGGUAGUUGGUGAGGUAACGGCCCACCAAGCCGACGAUCGGUAGCCGGACUGAGAGGUUGAACGGCCACAUUGGGACUGAGACACGGCCCAGACUCCUACGGGAGGCAGCAGUGAGGGAUAUUGGUCAAUGGGGGAAACCCUGAACCAGCAACGCCGCGUGAGGGAAGACGGUUUUCGGAUUGUAAACCUCUGUCCUCUGUGAAGAUGAUGACGGUAGCAGAGGAGGAAGCUCCGGCUAACUACGUGCCAGCAGCCGCGGUAAUACGUGGGGAGCAAGCGUUGUCCGGAUUUACUGGGUGUAAAGGGUGCGUAGGCGGCUUAGCAAGUCAGAAGUGAAAUCCAUGGGCUUAACCCAUGAACUGCUUUUGAAACUGUUGAGCUUGAGUGGAGUAGAGGUAGGCGGAAUUCCCGGUGUAGCGGUGAAAUGCGUAGAGAUCGGGAGGAACACCAGUGGCGAAGGCGGCCUACUGGGCUCUAACUGACGCUGAGGCACGAAAGCGUGGGUAGCAAACAGGAUUAGAUACCCUGGUAGUCCAUGCUGUAAACGAUGAUUACUAGGUGUGGGUGGACUGACCCCAUCCGUGCCGGAGUUAACACAAUAAGUAAUCCACCUGGGGAGUACGGCCGCAAGGCUGAAACUCA